rnacentral:lncRNA from 1 species
AUGACAACAGCCAGCAGAUGGGAGAGGCGGCUGUGGGAUCUCUGCGAGCCACAAACGCUGCCUGGGCACUGCCAAGCGCCCCUGCUGGUGAAACCAAGCCCAGGAGACCAAGAGAAGCUCAGUGACCAGCCGAGCAGGGGCAGGAGGAGCAGCCCUGCAGCUGCUGACAGGACAGCCCUUCAUCUCCAAAAGGCACCCGUGCCAAAUCCAACCCCUCCAAGCAAUCACACCGUGGCCCUUCAAAUGGUGCCUUGGAGGGAAGAAAAACAAGCUGAGAGAUGGAAAUGAGGGAUGUAAAUCUUCCAGGCUGUGUCUGGGAGGGACCUGGUUAAUCAGCAUCACUGAGCAGCCUUGCUGUGGUAAGUGCUGAGGAGGAAUUUUGCCAAAUUCCCCGGGUUUGGAUAGCAGGUGAGCUGUGUUCUGUUUGAAUCCCCACCUCGGGAUUGUUUUUCUGUACUUCCAGAGUUGCUGUGCUGCCUGUAACACGAGCAAUUGGCUCCUGUGUCCUGGGCGUCUUGGCAUGGGAUUUAUUAAUGUCAUAAAUAAGAAUAUCCCUGUGAGGGUGUGGGGUAUUCUGGGCUGGGGAGUUCCUGAGCCUUUGUUUCUCCCUCAGCCUUGCCUGUCCCAGUGCUCUGGUGCUAAUUGGUGCCACGUGGGUAUUUUCAACACUGAUAAUGUUUGGGAGCUGCCUGGGGAUUGCAGGUGAGGCUUUCCCCGAGGUGCUGCCUUGCCAGGUUUGCAUCGUGCUGGGUCACAGAUCCCCGUUCCUGACCUGUCACCGUGGGAGAUGCUGGGAUUAGGGUGAUGGAGUGCUUGGAGAGGAUAAACAAUAAUGAUGCUGCACCCAAACAAUGCCUUUCACUUCUCCCUCCUUUCUUUUCCUGUCGCUUCCCCAUUCAGGCUUAAUAAGAUCAGUGCAGAUAAUUUCUGUGUUCGUGCAAAACAUCAUUUUCCCUCCUGUGCUUUGCCAGCUGCACUGCAGUGGGGAAGGAAAAUUCCCACUUUCUUCUGCUUGGUUGUGGAUGGGUGCAUCUGUUCCUCGAAGAUAGGGAAAGGAGGGUGAGAGGGCUGGAAGGGUGGAGGAGAAAUCAGAUGCAGCCUGGUGCAUUACCUCUGUGCAGGGGGAAGCCUGCAGGAGUCUGAUUUUUGCAGCACAGUCUCAGUCCUGAUGGAUUUUGAGAUAACAUAAAAUUCUCCAUGGCUUUUUCCUUGGAAACAGCCUGAGCCCUAGGCUGGGUUUAGUGCCCAGGGUUAGGGUUUGGAAAACCACAAAGCCCAGAGCUCCAGG